rnacentral:rRNA from 1 species
AGUGAACGCUGGCGGUAGGCCUAACACAUGCAAGUCGAACGGCAGCACAGUAAGAGCUUGCUCUUACGGGUGGCGAGUGGCGGACGGGUGAGGAAUACAUCGGAAUCUACCUUUUCGUGGGGGAUAACGUAGGGAAACUUACGCUAAUACCGCAUACGACCUACGGGUGAAAGCAGGGGAUCUUCGGACCUUGCGCGAUUGAAUGAGCCGAUGUCGGAUUAGCUAGUUGGCGGGGUAAAGGCCCACCAAGGCGACGAUCCGUAGCUGGUCUGAGAGGAUGAUCAGCCACACUGGAACUGAGACACGGUCCAGACUCCUACGGGAGGCAGCAGUGGGGAAUAUUGGACAAUGGGCGCAAGCCUGAUCCAGCCAUACCGCGUGGGUGAAGAAGGCCUUCGGGUUGUAAAGCCCUUUUGUUGGGAAAGAAAAGCAGCAGGUUAAUACCCCGCUGUUCUGACGGUACCCAAGGAAUAAGCACCGGCUAACUUCGUG